rnacentral:tRNA from 1 species
UAGGGGAACCUGCGGCUGGAUCACCUCCUUUCUAAGGAUGGUUCUUCAGAAGCUUGCUUCUAUCGAACCGUUUUAGAAACAUCAGUGGCCAACAGAUCGCCAGAUCGUUGAGCUGCAUUGGCGGGAUUUCGCCGUCUUCGUUUCUCUUUCUUCGCGGACGAACACGCGCUGGGCCUGCAUCGAGCAGGAUCCCACGGUCCCUGACGGGAUAUGCGUUAGGGGCUUGUAGCUCAGUUGGUUAGAGCGCGCGCUUGAUAAGCGUGAGGUCGGAAGUUCAAGUCUUCCCAGGCCCACCACUUUCAGUGAGCAUUCGUCUUCUGGUUACGGGGCCAUAGCUCAGCUGGGAGAGCGCGUGCUUUGCAAGCAUGAGGUCGUCGGUUCGAUCCCGUCUGGCUCCACCAGAUGGUUUGAUCACCGAGAUCUUGUACCGUCGUCCGCGAAACAUCACUUCGCAUCCUGCUAGUCUGGAUAGACAGCAAGAUGCGUGUUUUCUGACAUCGUAAAGAGGAGAUCGAUCCGAGUUGGGUCGUGCAGCAGAUUGUUGCGCGGAUCCUUCAUUAUCUCCGGAUCAUUUUCGGCGCUCGCUCUCAGCCGUGAGGUUGAAUGCGAGUUGUAAAAUGAUCCUUUUAGCGAAGCUUGACCGCCUCGCUAUCGGAACGAUCUUACGAAGCAAGCUGGUCUUUCUAGUCAAUGUCCGGCUGCACGUAGCAUUCAUCGAGGGUGCGCGCCUUAGAGACUUCGGUUUCUCGGGCAUCGUGCAGACAACAUUCUGCCGAGUGUGUGGACAUUGAUAAUGAGAGCA